GACGAACGCUGGCGGUGUGCUUAACACAUGCAAGUGGUGCGACGAACCAGAGCUUGCUCUGGGGCAAAGCCGCGAACGGGUGAGUAACACGUGGGUAAUCUACCCCGAUGACCGGGACAACCCGAGGAAACUCGGGCUAAAUACCGGAUGUGGUACGGAGACAUAAGUCUCUUUACUAAAGGUAGCUUCGGCUUCCGCAUUGGGAGGGGCCCGCGGCCCAUUAGCUAGUUGGUGGGGUCAAGGCCUACCAAGGCAACGAUGGGUAGCUGGUCUGAGAGGACGAUCAGCCACACUGGGGCUGAGACACGGCCCAGACUCCUACGGGAGGCAGCAGUGGGGAAUCUUGCGCAAUGCGCGAAAGCGUGACGCAGCAACACCGCGUGAGGGAA
rnacentral:rRNA from 1 species